rnacentral:rRNA from 1 species
AAUAGAUACCCUGGUAGUCCACGCCGUAAACGUUGGGCGCUAGAUGUGGGGACCUUUCCACGGUUUCCGUGUCGUAGCUAACGCAUUAAAGCGCCCCGCCUGGGGAGUACGGCCGCAAGGCUAAAACUCAAAGGAAUUGACGGGGGCCCGCACAAGCGGCGGAGCAUGCGGAUUAAUUCGAUGCAACGCGAAGAACCUUACCAAGGCUUGACAUACACGAGAACGGGCCAGAAAUGGUCAACUCUUUGGACACUCGUGAACAGGUGGUGCAUGGUUGUCGUCAGCUCGUGUCGUGAGAUGUUGGGUUAAGUCCCGCAACGAGCGCAGCCCUCGUCGCAUGUUGCCAGCACGUUAUGGUGGGGACUCAUGUGAGACUGCCGGGGUCAACUCGGAGGAAGGUGGGGAUGACGUCAAAUCAUCAUGCCCCUUAUGUCUUGGGCUUCACGCAUGCUACAAUGGCCGGUACAAAGGGCUGCGAUGUCGUAAGGCGGAGCGAAUCCCGAAAAAGCCGGUCUCAGUUCGGAUUGAGGU